AUGUGUGCAAGAACGCAUGAAGGCUGUCUCUACCCUCUCUACCCGCUCUCUCUACCCUCUCUCUCUCUACCCUCUCUCUCUCUACCCUCUCUCUCUCUACCCUCUCUACCCGCUCCCUCUACCCUCUCUCUCUCUACCCUCUCUAUCCCCUCUCUCUACCCUCUCUACCCGCUCUCUCUACCCUCUCUACCCGCUCUCUCUACCCUCUCUACCCGCUCUCUCUACCCUCUCUCUCUCUACCCUCUUUACCCUCUUUCUCUACCCCCUCUCCAUGGGCCUCUCUCGCUGUCCUCUCCAUGGGUCUCUCUGUCCUCUCCAUGGGCCUCUCUCGCUGUCCUCUCCAUGGGCCUCUCUCGCUGUCCUGUCCAUGGGCCUCUCUCGCUGUCCUCUCCAUGGGCCUCUCUCGCUGUCCUCUCCAUCGGCCUCUCUCUCUGUCCUCUCCAUGGGCCUCUCUCGCUGCCCUCUCCAUGGGCCUCUCUCGCUGUCCUCUCCAUGGGCCUCUCUCGCUGUCCUCUCCAUCGGCCUCUCUCGCUGUCCUCUCCAUGGGCCUCUCUCGCUGUCCUCUCCAUGGGCCUCUCUCGCUGUCCUCUCCAUGGGCCUCUCACGCUGUCCUCUCCAUGGGCCUCUCUCGCUGUCCUCUCCAUCGGCCUCUCUCGCUGUCCUCUCCAUGGGUCUCUCUGUCCUCUCCAUGGGCCUCUCUCUCUGUCCUCUCCAUGGGCCUCUCUCGCUGUCCUCUCCAUGGGCCUCUCUCGCUGUCCUCUCCAUGGGCCUCUCUCGCUGUCCUCUCCAUCGGCCUCUCGCGCUGUCCUCUCCAUGGGUCUCUCUGUCCUCUCCAUGGGCCUCUCUCUCUGUCCUCUCCAUGGGCCUCUCUCGCUGACCUCUCCAUGGGCCUCUCUCGCUGUCCUCUCCAUCGGCCUCUCUCGCUGUCCUCUCCAUCGGCCUCUCUCGCUGUCCUCUCCAUGGGCCUCUCUCGCUGNNNNNNNNNNNNNNNNNNNNNNNNNNUCCUCUCCAUGGGUCUCUCUGUCCUCUCCAUGGGCCUCUCUCUCUGUCCUCUCCAUGGGCCUCUCUCGCUGUCCUCUCCAUGGGCCUCUCUCGCUGUCCUCUCCAUGGGCCUCUCUCGCUGUCCUCUCCAUGGGCCUCUCUCGCUGUCCUCUCCAUGGGCCUCUCUCGCUGUCCUCUCCAUGGGCCUCUCUCGCUGUCCUCUCCAUCGGCCUCUCUCGCUGUCCUCUCCAUGGGUCUCUCUGUCCUCUCCAUCGGCCUCUCUCUCUGUCCUCUCCAUGGGCCUCUCUCUCUGUCCUCUCCAUCGGCCUCUCUCGCUGUCCUCUCCAUCGUCCUCUCUCUCUGUCCUCUCCAUGGGCCUCUCUCUGUCCUCUCCAUCGGCCUCUCUCUCUGUCCUCUCCAUGGGCCUCUCUCGCUGUCCUCUCCAUGGGCCUCUCUCGCUGUCCUCUCCAUGGGCCUCUCUCGCUGUCCUCUCCAUGGGCCUCUCUCGCUGUCCUCUCCAUGGGUCUCUCUGUCCUCUCCAUGGGCCUCUCUCUCUGUCCUCUCCAUGGGCCUCUCUCUCUGUCCUCUCCAUCGGCCUCUCUCGCUGUCCUCUCCAUCGUCCUCUCUCUCUGUCCUCUCCAUGGGCCUCUCUCUGUCCUCUCCAUCGGCCUCUCUCUCUGUCCUCUCCAUCGGCUUCUCUCUCUGUCCUCUCCAUCGGCCUCUCUCUCUGUAUCUCUACCUCUGCAUCCCCCUCUCUCUACCUCCAACCCUGUUUGUCUUCCAACCUCUGUUUCUUGGUUUCUCUCUGUCUCAUCAUAUCCCUACCUCUCGCUCUCAUUCUCUGCCUCGGUUCUGACAUCUCUGUCCUCCACCCUCUCUGUCUCCUGCCUGCUCUUUCUAUAUCUGUCUAACUUCUGA
rnacentral:lncRNA from 8 species